rnacentral:rRNA from 1 species
UACGAAGGGGGCUAGCGUUGCUCGGAAUCACUGGGCGUAAAGGGUGCGUAGGCGGGUUUUUAAGUCAGGGGUGAAAUCCUGGAGCUCAACUCCAGAACUGCCUUUGAUACUGAAGAUCUCGAGUCCGGGAGAGGUGAGUGGAACUCCGAGUGUAGAGGUGAAAUUCGUAGAUAUUCGGAGGAACACCAGUGGCGAAGGCGGCUCACUGGUCCGGUACUGACGCUGAGGUGCGAAAGCGUGGGGAGCAAACAGG